CUCGGAGUUUGAUCCUGGCUCAGAUUGAACGCUGGCGGAAUGCUUUACACAUGCAAGUCGAACGGUAGAGGGGGCAACCCCUCGAGAGUGGCGAACGGGUGAGUAAUAUAUCGGAACGUGCCCAGUCGUGGGGGAUAACGUAGUGAAAUUACGCUAAUACCGCAUACGGAUCUAAGGAUGAAAGUCGGGGAUCGCAAGACCUCGCGCGAUUGGAGCGGCCGAUAUCAGAUUAGGUA
rnacentral:rRNA from 1 species